rnacentral:rRNA from 1 species
GACGAACGCUGGCGGCGUGCUUAACACAUGCAAGUCGAACGCUGAAGCUCAGCUUUUGUUGGGUGGAUGAGUGGCGAACGGGUGAGUAACACGUGAGUAACCUGCCUCCUUCUUUGGGAUAACGCCCGGAAACGGGUGCUAAUACUGGAUAUUCACUGGUCUUCGCAUGGGGGUUGGUGGAAAGGGUUUUUCUGGUGGGGGAUGGGCUCGCGGCCUAUCAGCUUGUUGGUGGGGUGAUGGCCUACCAAGGCUUUGACGGGUAGACGGCCUGAGAGGGUGACCGGUCACAUUGGGACUGAGAUACGGCCCAGACUCCUACGGGAGGCAGCAGUGGGGAAUAUUGCACAAUGGGCGCAAGCCUGAUGCAGCGACGCCGCGUGAGGGAUGGAGGCCUUCGGGUUGUGAACCUCUUUCGCUCAUGGUCAAGCCGCAACAAUGGUUGUGGUGAGGGUAGUGGGUAAAGAAGCGCCGGCUAACUACGUG